GAACGGGUGAGUAAUGUAUCGGAACGUGCCCAGUUGUGGGGGAUAACUGCUCGAAAGAGCAGCUAAUACCGCAUACGACCUGAGGGUGAAAGCGGGGGAUCGCAAGACCUCGCGCAAUUGGAGCGGCCGAUAUCAGAUUAGGUAGUUGGUGGGGUAAAGGCUCACCAAGCCAACGAUUUGUAGCUGGUCUGAGAGGACGACCAGCCACACUGGGACUGAGACACGGCCCAGACUCCUACGGGAGGCAGCAGUGGGGAAUUUUGGACAAUGGACGCAAGUCUGAUCCAGCCAUGCCGCGUGCGGGAAGAAGGCCUUCGGGUUGUAAACCGCUUUUGUCAGGGAAGAAACGCUCUGGGUUAAUACCUCGGGGUAAUGACGGUACCUGAAGAAUAAGCACCGGCUAACUACGUGCCAGCAGCCGCGGUAAUACGUAGGGUG
rnacentral:rRNA from 1 species